AUCUUACAUUUCAGACUGCCUAAGGACAUUAAAAAAGUACAAUAGCCAAGAAAACAGCAACCGUCGUGGGCAUUCAGGAGAAGUACGAAGUUUAGGAAAGAGAAACUAGGGUUGAGUUCAGUUGAGAAGAAAUUUGAGGGCGUAGAUCACCUUCUCUGCUACCAACAUCAACAUGAAAUGGCGACUCCCAAUCUUAAAACAGAUGUGGAUGAUCUUCAUUUAGGAGAUGGUUAUUGUGAUGCUAUGGAGAGAUUCGUAUCACGGUUCGGUGAGAGCUUGCAACAGUGAUGUGUAUUUACCAUUGGAUGGUGGAUGAUCUUCUUAGUGUGCAGAUGUUUGGAGGAUGCCUUAGAUUUUGAUGUUGUAGAAGGGUCUUUCACAUUUGCGGGUACACUUGUAGGAGAUGGUGAUCUUCAUCAUAUUUGAGGAUGUUGACAUCUUGAGGGCUCAAGGAGUCCUUGGUUGAGGUGUGAUUUAUGCUUUUUUUUGAUAUGUUAUCCCUGCUUGAUAUGAUGGUUGAUAUUAUGUCAUGGUGCACUCUUGAUACUAGUUUAGAGUUUUGGUUUGAUAAGGUUAUUUGACAUGUUCAUAUGGAGCAUGUUAUCUCUUUGGAGGAGGUGGUUAGAUCAUGAUGUCAUGUUUAUGUUCCUGAUUUUGUAGUUGGAGCUUUGACAUUGAUCUUGGUAGUUCUCUUUGUAUUGGGAACAUGAUCAUUUGCUUGAUUACUUCAUGAUGAUGCUAUGUUGCAUUUGGAGUUUGGCAUGGAUUGAUUGUUUAUAGGUACUCAUGGAUACAUGGAGACAUAGGUGAUGCUGAUAUUAUCUUGUGAUUAGAGACAUGUGUUGAGAUGGUUAUGGUUUCAACAUGAAGACUGAGGAGCAUUCACCUGGUAUAGACUUCAAAGGAGAUUGUUCUUAAAUGAGUCAUGAUGACUUGGAUGUCUUGGAUGAGAAUUCUCAUUCCCCACUCUUGGUCUACUUGGUGGUUUACUACUUGAGAGGUAUUUCCCAUUGUUCCUUUCAGGGGCAUUAUGUUUAUGCUUAUCUUUCAUAGAUAUUGAUCUCUUGAGCUAUGGAUAGAUGGUUAGUUCGGGAGGAUUCAACUUGAGAGAUGUAUGACAUUGGUUAUCUUCUUGUGCAUUUGAGUUAGUAUUAUGAUGACAUUCAUUGAUAUUGAGUUUGGGAGAUGGUUUAUUGGGUAUAUUCCCUUGGGUUUAGGAUUGGAUAUUGGUUUGAUAUUCUUGGUUAUGAGAGACUUACAUCCAUGUUGAUUACAUGUUAUAUAUGUUUGUUUGGUCCAAGAGAUUGGACGAUUUUGGGUGUCGUUAUGGCUUUUCAUUUGGGGUUGUAUGGAGGAAAUCAUACUUGACACAAUUGACAUUCAAAGGUGUAUGUAGAAGGACAUGCUAUAGGUUUUGAUUUGCAAUGUUUUUCUCUUUGGUCUUGGUAAUCUUCCUAGAUGUUCAGUUUCACAUUACAUUGGAUUUGAGGUUGUUUGGAGCUAUGAGUUCACUAGUUUGUGUUCAUGUGUUGUCAUCUAGGAGAUGACAUGGAGGUUCUUUUAUCUCUUUCUUUUGUUGGUUGUGAAAAACAUGGGAGAGUUAUGGAGACUUGUGGUGAUAUUUGUACUUGCAGGUUAUUCAUAUUAUUGUGGACGUUCCUUGAUAAUACAUGGUUAUGGUUACACUUUCUAUGUGAUGCUAUUAGUGGAUUCAUUUCAGAUUUGACACUACCUAUGUAGUAGGACUUUCUAGGUGUACAUAUGUGACAUGUAUUGCACUUGGAGCUUAUGAUUGCAUGUUACAUGUUGCAUAUGUUGAUGAUAUGAUAUUCACUUGAUAUGUAUACCUUGGAGGUAUGGAUAGUUGUAUGUGUUAGCACUAGCUGUGGGUGCUAUUUCAGCUAUUGUUAUUGGUUCUUGAUAGCUACCUCUACAUUGGUUACCUUUGGAUUGAGUGUUUGUGUUUGGAUAUUAGUUGAGUUGGGACUUAUCAUACAUUGUGACAAGUUGUGUGGCUUUCUCUAUGGAUGGCCUUUUCAUGUCUAGUGACAGUGGUAUGGUGAAGUGUGGGAGCAUUCAUGUAUGAGAUCAUGGUCACUUUGUUUCUUUUUGUAAGUAUCUAGUCGAUGGAGCACAUGGAGUAAUUUGAUUCCAUGAUGGUAUAUGUUCCCUUGUUCAUGUUGUGGUUACUUAUUGGCUCUUAUGCAAUGUAUACAACAAGUGGGAGAAUGUUGGGAAAAUAGUUGUUGUAAACCUUGCAUAAUAAUGUUUGUAAUUGUAAUAUUUAUUUAUUAUGCAAGUUUCCAAUGGACAUGCAACGCAAUAUCUAUUUAUUUGAUGUUGCACGUGAAGGUGUAACAUGUAGAGAUUCCUUGGGAAUAUUUUUGGGACCAUUGGAUGAGUUGUAUUGUAACAUUGAAAAAUAUUAUAUUGUAUUUAUUGAAUAUUGGGGAAUGUAAUUUCAUAAAGUAC